rnacentral:rRNA from 1 species
CACGUAGGGGGCGAGCGUUGUCCGGAAUCAUUGGGCGUAAAGAGCUCGUAGGCGGUUUGGCAAGUCGGGUGUGAAAACUCCGGGCUCAACUCGGAGACGCCACUCGAUACUGCCAUGACUAGAGUCCGGUAGGGGAGUGCGGAAUUCCUGGUGUAGCGGUGAAAUUCGUAGAUAUCGGGAAGAACACCGGUGGCGAAGGCGCCUUCCUGGACGAUAACUGACGCUGAGACGCGAAAGCGUGGGGAGCAAACAGG